GACGAAGGAUGCAAGCGUUAUCCGGAUUCAUUGGGUUUAAAGGGAGCGUAGGUGGCCUUAUAAGUCAGUGGUGAAAUCUCUGGGCUUAACCCAGAAAUUGCCAUUGAUACUGUAGGGCUUGAGUACAGUUGCUGUGGGCGGAAUAUGACAUGUAGUGGUGAAAUACAUAGAGAUGUCAUAGAACACCGAUUGCGAAGGCAGCUCACAAAAACUGUAACUGACACUGAGGCUCGAAAGUGCGGGGAUCAAACAGG
rnacentral:rRNA from 1 species